rnacentral:rRNA from 1 species
GUAAGGAAUAUUGGACAAUGGACGGAAGUCUGAUCCAGCCAUGCCGCGUGAAGGAAGAAGGCGCUCAGCGUUGUAAACUUCUUUUGAAUGGGAACAAACCACCUGGUUUACCGGGUGCUGAGGGUACCAUUAGAAUAAGCACCGGCUAACUCCGUGCCAGCAGCCGCGGUAAUACGGAGGGUGCAAGCGUUAUCCGGAAUCACUGGGUUUAAAGGGUGCGUAGGCGGUGGCGUAAGUCAGUUGUGAAAUUCCCCGGCUUAACCGGGGGCGUGCGAUUGAUACUGUGUCACUUGAAUAAGGUUGAGGUAGGCGGAAUGUGGCAUGUAGCGGUGAAAUGCAUAGAUAUGCCAUAGAACACCGAUUGCGAAGGCAGCUUGCUGGACCUUAAUUGACGCUGAGGCACGAAAGCGUGGGGAGCAAACAGGAUUAGAAACCCGGGUAGUCC